GAGCGGAGCUGAGCGCCGGCUGCCCUGACGUCAGCAUGGCCGCGGCCCCUGACUACCCAGCUCCCUUCUAUCCCUCGAGCGGCAGGAAUCCGUCCCCACGCCCUUUUCCUUUAAAGGGCAACGGGCCGAAGGUGGGGCGGGCGGCGCGGCUCCCGCGAUCCAUUCAGGUCAAAAGGGAGAGUGAUCAAACAGGAGAGCCGAGGGGACCUAUAUUCAGAGACUUAACCGGACACCUGGACAGACCAUUACAACUUGGGACUUUUCAGGAGAAUGAGGGAAAUGUAGUUAUUGCACCUGAGCCUCACUCCAGCUCUGAGGUCCUCUUCACUUCUCUUUGGAAGAAAAUUGGAUAUCUUUUCCUAGUUGAAAGAGUAGAGAUCUGAUUUCUCCAAGGAUCAUCGCUUUUUGACACGGGAUUAUUAGAAGCAUUCAUUCAUCUAUCAAGGAGUUUUGGGAUACUUGCCAUAAGCCAAGCCCUCUGAUAGGUGCUGGAAACAUCAAGCUCUGUGCCCAGGAAGUUCAUCCUUGGACUGCACGCAUGAACGAGUUUGCUGUCUUCCCAUUGGAUUCAGCCAGUCCGCGGUCCUGGAAGAAGAAAUACUUUCCCAGACAAAUAAAAGCUGAGGAAUAUCAUCAACAUCAGACCUGUCUUACAAAAAAUGCUAAAGGGAGUUCUUCAAUCCAAAAGAAAAAGAUGUUAAUGAGCAAAAAUAAAUCAUCUGAAGGUGCAAAACUUGCUGGUAAUUGCUGCCUGAGCAAUUGUGUCUGGUUCGUGAAGUGACUUCCCAUUUUCAUCCAAUUGGCCCUGAUCUCACAUCCCAAGCCCAUGGAUCAUACCACAUUGUUCUUUCUGCAAAACAGUUGAGAAUUACCAGUAAUUGGGACUGUUUACAUUCAAUGCCAUCAUGACAGAAGCAGCUUUAUUAUAUUGCAGAGGAAUGAUUAAUACAUGAUGGGGAUUAAAGAUUGCACUGCAGCAGGCCAAGGCAAGAGGCAAUAAAGAUUAAUAAUUUUAGAUUUCCACUGUAGCAAGAACGGGAAAAAAGCGUCAUCUGAAAUGCCAACUUCAAGCAAUUGCAGUGAUUUCCUGGAACCCUACGUGACAAGUCCAGAUUCAGUGGGAAAGACUGUGAGGAUCCGUUAGCAAUGUUUACGAUGGGCAAGUCUUGUGAUGGGGUUACCCUCCUUGCAUUAGAAUUUGCAGUCUUCUAUUAGGCCAUUAGUCUUUGAGAGCAAAAACUGUAUGUAUCUCAUUUUUGUAGCCCCAGUGCCAGGCACACAGUAGCUGCUCCAAAAGCAAAGGACAUCGAGUCUGAAUCAAGCUGCUUGGGUUUAAUGGCUGUCUUUGUCGCUUACUAGCUGAGUGGACUCGUCAUAUUUAUAACUUAAUUGUGGUUCAGUUUCCUUCUCUACAGAAAAGGCAUGAGUUCCUCAUUCAUAGAGUUAUAAUAAGGGUUAAAUAAAGUCAUGCAUAUCCAAAGCUUAGCAUAGUACCUGAGACAUAGCAAAUACUUGAGGAAUGCAGGUAUAAAUUAACAUAGGAGUGAAUAACAUUGCAAGGAAACAGAGAAAAGGAUCCUAAACAGUCCUGCUGGUAUAUUCAUUUAUGAUUCAAAAAUCCUCAAUUGUUAAAAUUUGGGUCAGAACCUUAUUAUUCCAGGUUGUUGGUAAAUGUGAGGACCCUUCUGGGUUUGGAAGUAGAACAAUAAAUUGAGAGGCCAAAGAAGCUGCAAAUAAAAAUUGGCUUCUCUGGGAAAAUGAUUUUCACAUUUAUACCUACCUGCCUUUUGUCCUCCCAUGCAUUUCUCCAGAUGUGAUACCAAUGUGAUACAAUUGUUGUUUAUUCCUUCUCUGACAAUAGCAAGGUAGAGUGAGCCUUCCAGUGAGGGCUUAAAAUAUAGCUCCAGAGACAUUCACCACUACUUCCUGCCUCCAUGGUUACACAUUCCCUUUCACAAAUAAAACAUGGCCUCAUGCUUCAUGCUGAGCUUGCAUUUUACAUACAUCAUUUGGAUCUUCUCUGCAAACCUAUGAAGUGGGCAUGGUAAUCUUCCUUUACAAAUAGAGAAACUGAGGCCUAAGAUGGGGAGCAAUUUCCCUUUAAAAACCUUUUAUUGUCAAGGUCCAAAUGGCUGAUGAUUCAUGCCAUAGACAUCCCAAACCAGCUGGUAGGCAGAGCUCUUGGCAUUCCAAAUGGAAACGUGGAACAGACACAGAUCACCUGGCCACACAGACCUCAGCUCUAAAGACAGAUGACUACUUACCUGUUAAAGUUCCCUGUGCACUAUUUUUUAAAAUCUAGAGAUAGAUAAUAAAUAGGUUAAGUUACAUUUUAAAUUAGCCCAAGAGCAUUUGAGAACAGAAUCAUUUUUAGAAUCUUAAUUCUGAGAUUCACUGUUGGGCUUAAGUCACUGCUUCUGUGAUGGUUAGUUUUGGGUGUGAACUUGACUGUAUUAAGGGAUACUUACCUGGGAAAGCAUUAUUUACUCUCCAUGCUUCAGUAGAUACUGAGCCCUUCCCUUUUCUGCUGAAAGGGAAACCCAGGUGGCUUGGCGUUUGAUUAGAAUAAUUGGGCUGCCCCAGGUGUGUCCGUGAGGGUGCCUCUGAGGGAAACUGGGACUAAAUGAAGAAGAUCUGCCCUCCAUAUGGGCAGGCACUAUUCCAAUUGGCUGGGGGCCCCAGAUAGAACAAAAAGGCAGAUAAAGGGCAGUCUCCCUGGAGAAGAGACCUGCCUGUAGACAGACAUCAGAACUCCAGGUUCUCCAGCCUUUGGGCUCCAGGACUCACACCAAUGCGCCACCGGGCUCUCUGACCUUCAGCUUUGGACUGAGAAUUACACCAUAGAAUGCCCUGGUUCUGAGGCCUUCAAACUCAGACUGAGCCACGCUACAGGCUUUCCGGAUUGUCCAGCAUACAGAAGGUCUGUUGUGGGAUUUCUCAGCCUCCAUGAGUAAGUAAGAAAAUUGCCUCUAAUAAAUCCUUUUUCAUAUGUCUCUCUAGACAUCUGUAGGUUCUGUCUCUGGGGAGAACCCUAACUAAAACCCAUUCUUGAAGGUAACAUGCAUAAGAAUUGCCUGGGGCAGGGGGAUGGAGUCUUGCUAACAUGCACAUUGAUUCAGAAGAGGUAGGGCCUAGGAUUUUCUGUAGUUCUGAAACACUUCCAGGUGAUGUUGAUGCUGAUGGACAAGGAGCACACUAUCAGUUUUCAGUCAGGCUUCCACAAAGUGCUUUCUGCAGGUGUCUUGCAUCAGAAUAUGCAAACAUGAAGAGAGUCUGCUUUAGUUGGUUAGUGGGUCUCAGGUGGGUCUGGAGAGACCAGGGGAAGCUGCCUGUUUAAAAUGCAUUCAGGUGAUUCAGCUACAUAUUAACAAAGCAUUGUGACAUUAAUGAAAGUGUUUUCCAAACUUGCUCCAUCAUUAGAACCACCUGCUAGUUAAAAGGCACUGAUUUCCCAGGCUUUCCCCCUUACAGACUCAGUUUUAAAGAUCUGGCUUAUCUCAUUUUGAUCUAUGCAAUUCCUGAUAAUAGCUUAGUGAGGUUAUGGAACUUGUCCAAAAUCAAAAGUAGUGAAUAGUAGUCUCAGGUAUAUGUGUAGACUAAUGGAGAAGUGUCAGAGGAGAAGAAAUAGUAAAUGAGACACAAACAGGGAAUUAGAGACUUCAUCGAGAGACAUUUGCAUGAGUGGACCUAGAGUACUCAGUGCCACUGGGCUAGCUUUGGAGGACCAGCUCACCCAGCAGAGUUGGGCAGUGGCUCCUCCACAGUGUGCCUGGGCUUCAGGAAGGCAAGAAGCAGGACUUGUGUUCAGACUGGUGCAGGCUAAGCUUGAGACAAGACAGCCACAUGGACUCAUAACUGCAUGGAGAACUUCAGUGAAGGAACUUCUAGUCUGUACCAUACUGGUAACACCUGCCUUGUUUGUUUAUUUAUUUAUUUAUUUAUUUAUUUAUUUAUUUAUUUAUUUAUUUUUGGUAAAAAUAACCUGCACAAACAUAACGGGAAAUCAUGUUCUAAAAAUAUAACUUUCCUAGUAAUCCUCUACCCUUCCGUAUCAACUUAAGUCAAUUAUAAUCCUUUUCGUCCCCCAGUUUUUACACACACAAAUUUUCUAAUGUUGGCAAGACUGUUAUUUCAGAGAGGGGUGAGGCUUAUUAAAGGUAUCUUAAGGGUCUAAACUAGUAGCGAUAUAUAGAAGUUAGUGGAGGACAGAUUUCUGUGGACAGAGUAAGGGAGAAUGGUUUAAAAUACUCGCAUAAUAAUUAGACCAGAGAGAGCAAAAAUAUUUUAUCUUUUAUUGCUAGCCCCAAUCUAUUAUUGAGCAUCUAGGGAACUGUGUAGGGAAGUAUUCUAAGCUGAUACCUAAUCAGUGUUUUUAAAAGAUCUUGGUAGCCAAGUCUUUUGUGUAUUAUAUCUAGUAAGAAUUGUUUCACAGUUGUUUUCUAAUUGUACUCUGGGUGAAUAUGCGCUAGAGUCUGGGUGAAUGUGUAUCACUAUGCCUGGGGACUUGGUGAGGAGGAACCAGAAAUUCCUCCUUUGUUAU
ensembl:lncRNA LMCD1-AS1 LMCD1 antisense RNA 1